rnacentral:rRNA from 1 species
CAGUCGCCGCGGUAAUACGUAGGUGGCAAGCGUUGUCCGGAAUUAUUGGGCGUAAAGGGCUCGCAGGCGGCUUCUUAAGUCUGAUGUGAAAGCCCCCGGCUCAACCGGGGAGGGUCAUUGGAAACUGGGAAACUUGAGUGCAGAAGAGGAGAGUGGAAUUCCACGUGUAGCGGUGAAAUGCGUAGAGAUGUGGAGGAACACCAGUGGCGAAGGCGACUCUCUGGUCUGUAACUGACGCUGAGGAGCGAAAGCGUGGGGAGCGAACAGGAUUAGAUACCCCCGUAGUCCCUGUCUCUUAUAU